CUUAACCUAAUUUAACGCCGUGUCAAUUGCGAAAACGCGGGAAAAAAAAGUACUCGACUCUUGUCCACACAGGAGGAUCGUGGAUAAAGUAAUUAACGGCGUUCGAGCGUGUCGUCUCAGUUUAUAAAAGCGGAGGGAGUGGGGCUCCUGGGCAAAAUAGUGUUUCACGUGUCCGCGUAUCAGUUCAGUUUGCACCUUCGCCGUCUUCGAAGAUGAGAUCGAGGCUGGCUGGCGACGAUCGAUCGCUUCCUGGGAUCCGCGCGCGCGUGCCUCGAAUGUUCGAUUGAAAUUUUGAUAAAAUUUUUGCGGGGAGGAAAAGAAGGGUGGAAAAGGCAAUUUCAUUCCCUCCCUCGUGUUUUCCUUUUAUUUGCAAUACAAUAAUAUUCGUUUAUACCAGAAGAGAAAAAUCGCGUUGGGACGGCCGAAUUUAAAGUGAAAGGGAUAUUCACGGAGGCGGAGGCAAGGAGAAGAGAGUUUGCUUGGAGUCAUUGUGCUUUCUAAAGGGGGGGAAAAAAAAGAAAAAAAAAGAAGGGGGAGAAAAAAGUGUCUCGAGCGUCUCUUUGGGUUCAGUCACGUGCCACGGUAACUCACUCACUUCCUCUAUCGUUGCUACAACUGUCGGUAGAGCUACGCUUUUCACAGGUGUCUGCUUGGUUGGUUUUGUUGAUACUCACAAAAAGGAAGUGUGAAUCGGGAAAGUAAUCCCGGAAGCCGAAAGACCGGGGGCGGUAAAUUCCAACCGCGGAGGAUUUGGGGUGCGAACCGCGUUGUCCUAAUGACACGUCGGCGAUAAAGCGUCGACUCGCAACAGGGGAUCGAAGGUCACAAAGCGUGGCAAACCCAUGCCUUAUUGUUAUCCCCUACUGCGGGAUACGCAUCAACGAGGAUCCUGCAGAUUUAAAAUAUCUCCUUCCCUGAAGGAUUAAAUUCUAAAACUUCUCCGAACCAUUGGAUCUAAAUAAUUCAAAAAUUAAACGAGUUCCUUACCCAUAUUCCAUUUAACUCACCAAUGAAACAGACUUCCCUCCUCCACGCUCGAUUAUCCACAACGCUCUCGCUUCUUCAAAUUAUCCGAUCGUGACGAGUGAAGAGAGGCUCAAUAAUAACCAUGGAAGUUGGGAUACUGCGACAGAUAUAUAUUGGGAUCGUUUGUAAGUAAGAGAAAACUAUAUUAUACAAGAUCGAACCAUUAAAGUAUAUUAAACUUACGUAAAGACAAGAUAAAAUAGCACACCGAUACUAUCUAUUUGAAUUUUAUAAUAUUUAGUCUUCUUUCU